CUCGCUACAACAGUGUUUGUGGGUAUUUGACUGCUUACUGGAUAUGUUCAUAAAAAGUUCAAUCAGCAAUAUAAAGCUACAAUUGGGGCUGAUUUUGUCACCAAAGAACUACAAUUUGAUGACAGGCUUGUCACUCUACAAAUAUAGGACACAGCUAGGCAGGAGAGGCUUCAAAGUCUCAGCGUUGCCUUUUAUAGAGUGACAGAUUGUUGUAUUCUUGUAUACGAUGUUAAUGCCCUGAAAUCAUUUGAUACUCUUAACAAUUGGCAUGAAGAAUUUCUCAAACAGGUUAGUUAUUCAUCUUUAUCUCAUUGCUGCCAAUGUUGAACAAUUUGUCAUAUAUCUUUUAUUUUUUGGUCUAUUUGUCUCAGUGAGUGUGUGUAAGUGUAAAUGCAUCAAUAAACAACUUCUGAGGCCCAUUGUUUAAAUUGCACAUUAUGCAUAACUUACAAGAUAGUUAAUCAAUCAUUUCAAAUUUUCUUUUUGUAUCGAAGGAUUCAAUUAGAGGUACUUUGCUCUCAAAUACUUGGUUCAUUGAUUCUUCUUGUCUAUAGAAUUUUUCACAACUACUAAUUUUGAACAAA